rnacentral:rRNA from 1 species
GUCGAGCGAUGAUUAAAGAUAGCUUGCUAUUUUUAUGAAGAGCGGCGAACGGGUGAGUAACGCGUGGGAAAUCUGCCGAGUAGCGGGGGACAACGUUUGGAAACGAACGCUAAUACCGCAUAACAAUGAGAAUCGCAUGAUUCUUAUUUAAAAGAAGCAAUUGCUUCACUACUUGAUGAUCCCGCGUUGUAUUAGCUAGUUGGUAGUGUAAAGGACUACCAAGGCGAUGAUACAUAGCCGACCUGAGAGGGUGAUCGGCCACACUGGGACUGAGACACGGCCCAGACUCCUACGGGAGGCAGCAGUAGGGAAUCUUCGGCAAUGGGGGCAACCCUGACCGAGCAACGCCGCGUGAGUGAAGAAGGUUUUCGGAUCGUAAAACUCUGUUGUUAGAGAAGAACGUUAAGUAGAGUGGAAAAUUACUUAAGUGACGGUAUCUAACCAGAAAGGGACGGCUAACUACGUGCCAGCAGCCGCGGUAAUACGUAGGUCCCAAGCGUUGUCCGGAUUUAUUGGGCGUAAAGCGAGCGCAGGUGGUUUCUUAAGUCUGAUGUAAAAGGCAGUGGCUCAACCAUUGUGUGCAUUGGAAACUGGGAGACUUGAGUGCAGGAGAGGAGAGUGGAAUUCCAUGUGUAGCGGUGAAAUGCGUAGAUAUAUGGAGGAACACCGGAGGCGAAAGCGGCUCUCUGGCCUGUAACUGACA